UACGGAGGAUGCAAGCGUUAUCCGGAAUGAUUGGGCGUAAAGCGUCCGCAGGUGGCUGUGUAAGUCUGCUGUUAAAGCGUCUAGCUCAACUAGAUACAAGCAGUGGAAACUACACGGCUAGAGUACGUUCGGGGCAGAGGGAAUUCCCGGUGUAGCGGUGAAAUGCGUAGAGAUCAGGAAGAACACCGGUGGCGAAGGCGGAUCUCUGGGCCUGAUCUGACGCUGAGGCGCGAAAGCUAGGGGAGCAAACAGG
rnacentral:rRNA from 1 species